rnacentral:rRNA from 1 species
UACGAAGGGUGCAAGCGUUAAUCGGAAUUACUGGGCGUAAAGCGCGCGUAGGUGGUUCGUUAAGUUGGAUGUGAAAGCCCCGGGCUCAACCUGGGAACUGCAUCCAAAACUGGCGAGCUAGAGUAUGGCAGAGGGUGGUGGAAUUUCCUGUGUAGCGGUGAAAUGCGUAGAUAUCGGGAGGAACACCAGUAGCGAAGGCGGCCAUCUGGCUGAUAACUGACGCUGAGGUGCGAGAGCGUGGGGAGCAAACAGG